rnacentral:rRNA from 1 species
CCGGCACGGGUGAGUAACACGUAUCCAACCUGCCGUCUACUCUUGGCCAGCCUUCUGAAGGAAGAUUAAUCCAGGAUGGCAUCAUGAGUUCACAUGUCCGCAUGAUUAAAGGUAUUUUCCGGUAGACGAUGGGGAUGCGUUCCAUUAGAUAGUAGGCGGGGUAACGGCCCACCUAGUCAACGAUGGAUAGGGGUUCUGAGAGGAGGUCCCCCACAUUGGAACUGAGACACGGUCCAA